rnacentral:rRNA from 1 species
GACGGACGCUGGCGGCGUGCUUAACACAUGCAAGUCGAACGGAAAGGCCCUGCUUUUGUGGGGUGCUCGAGUGGCGAACGGGUGAGUAACAAGUGAGUAACCUGCCCUUGACUUUGGGAUAACUUCAGGAAACUGGGGCUAAUAACGGAUAGGAGCUCCUGCUGCAUGGUGGGGGGUGGAAAGUUUCGGCGGUUGGGGAUGGACUCGCGGCUUAUCAGCUUGUUGGUGGGGUAGUGGCUUACCAAGGCUUUGACGGGUAGCCGGCCUGAGAGGGUGACCGGCCACAUUGGGACUGAGAUACGGCCCAGACUCCUACGGGAGGCAGCAGUGGGGAAUAUUGCACAAUGGGCGGAAGCCUGAUGCAGCAACGCCGCGUGCGGGAUGACGGCCUUCGGGUUGUAACCCGCUUUCGCCUGUGACGAAGCGUGAGUGACGGUAAUGGGUAAAGAAGCACCGGCUAACUACGUG